rfam:Oryza sativa (indica cultivar-group) chromosome 10, whole genome shotgun sequence.
UAUAAAUAUAGUUUUACACUAUUCAUUUUCAACAUUUGACCAUUCGUUUUAUUUAAAUUUUUUUUAUGAUUACUAUUUUUAUUGUUAUUAGAUGAUAAAAUAUGAAUAAUACUUUAUGUGUGACUAACUUUUUUAAAAUUUUUCAUAAGACGGAUGGUCAAACGUUGGACACGGAUUUUCAUUGCUGCACUUAUU